UCUUUCUUUUUUCACUAAUUAUGCAUCAUAUAUUCUCUUGGUUUCAUUUGAUUUGUGAAAAUGAUACGAUUUAUGUACCUUGUUACUCUGUCUGUUUGUUCUUGCUUGUAGGCAAACAAAAGAUGCCAUGAAGCUGCUAAAGAAAUGGUUGGGCAGUAAGAGUCCUAAAACUCAACUCCUUGCUCUUUUUGUAUUGGAGACCUGAGUAAAAAUUGUGGGGAGCAUGUUUCUCAGCAAAUUGUUGAGUGAGAUAUCUUACAUGAGAUGGUGAAUAUAGUAAAGAAGAAAUCAGAUUUAAGUAUAAGAGAGAAUAUAUUGAUUUUGAUUGAUACAUAUCAAGAAGCUUUAGGAGGUUCAAGAGGGAAAUUUCCCCAAUAUUACAGUGCAUUCAUUGAACUGAGGGCUACUAGAGUGGAAUUUCUUCCAUGAGAAGAGAACACUGUGUCGAUAUUUACACCACCACAGAUCCAACCAAUUAGUCACCCUCCUUCUCCAGCUUACCCUCACUCAGUAUAUGAAUAACCGGUGGUCAGGCUUCUCUUCAGACUGAUAUUGUUGGAAUGAGGUUGAGACAUAAUAAUGUGACAAAUGUGGAGAUACUAUCUGAUUUUUACAAAGAGAGAAAUUAUAAAGAAGAUCAUGGGUGAAUCUAAUAAGGUGAUAAAUAUGACGAAGAAUCAAGAAAAAGAAGAAGAGCUGGAGGAAUUAACCACCUUACGUUCUUCUUCCAUUUUUGUUUGCAUUCUACUCCGCAUAAUAUUAUCCUUGCUGUUAUAAGGAAUGUUGAAUGGAGGCAUAAUGUCAAAUUUCAUAUUUUUUAGAAUUAUU